rnacentral:rRNA from 1 species
CCUACGGGAGGCUGCAGUGGGGAAUAUUGGACAAUGGGCGAAAGCCUGAUCCAGCCAUGCCGCGUGUGUGAAGAAGGCCUUCGGGUUGUAAAGCACUUUCAGUGGGGAAGAAAGCCUUGGGGCUAAUACCCUCGAGGAAGGACAUCACCCACAGAAGAAGCACCGGCUAACUCCGUGCCAGCAGCCGCGGUAAUACGGAGGGGUGCGAGCGUUAAUCGGAAUUACUGGGCGUAAAGCGCGCGUAGGCGGUCUGAUAAGCCGGUUGUGAAAGCCCCGGGCUCAACCUGGGAACGGCAUCCGGAACUGUCAGGCUAGAGUGCAGGAGAGGAAGGUAGAAUUCCCGGUGUAGCGGUGAAAUGCGUAGAGAUCGGGAGGAAUACCAGUGGCGAAGGCGGCCUUCUGGACUGACACUGACGCUGAGGUGCGAAAGCGUGGGUAGCAAACAGGAUUAGAUACCCUAGUAGUC